rnacentral:rRNA from 1 species
UCGAGAAUUUUUCACAAUGGGCGAAAGCCUGAUGGAGCGACGCCGCGUGGGGGAUGAAUGGCUUCGGCCCGUAAACCCCUGUCAUUUGCGAUCAAACCUCAUUAUUUAAAAGAUGAUGAGCUGAUAGUAGCGAAAGAGGAAGGGACGGCUAACUCUGUGCCAGCAGCCGCGGUAAUACAGAGGUCCCAAGCGUUGUUCGGAUUCACUGGGCGUAAAGGGUGCGUAGGUGGCGAGGUAAGUCGGAUGUGAAAGCUCGGAGCUCAACUCCGAAAUGGCAUUGGAAACUACCUUGCUCGAGGGUUGGAGGGGGGACUGGAAUUCUCGGUGUAGCAGUGAAAUGCGUAGAUAUCGAGAGGAACACCAGUGGCGAAGGCGAGUCCCUGGACAACUCCUGACACUGAGGCACGAAAGCUAGGGGAGCAAACAG